GUUUGUGUGUUGCAUCUGAGCACGCUCGUGUCUCAGGUGUUUCAGUCGUGGGUUUUCUCCGGACUGUUUCAGUCCCCAGUGUUUGGGGCAUUUGUUGUGUGUGCGCCCUGUAUCUUAGUGGGGUGGCUUUUGUUCGCCGUUUGUGCAAAUAAAGCACUACCCUGUACUCUCUGCUUCCUGUGCCUGACUUCGCACCCACUACACCCAGAGCCUUACAGCCAGGUCUACUUAGUUUCAUUGUAAGUCAUGGGCCAAUGCUGAACAACAUCUUACUGAGUGUUGUGGUGGGAACAGGCUGUGUUUUAUGAAGAGGACUGCAGAAAGGAAAAUGGACUAGUACUUGACACCAAAUGGAUGUCAGAGGCCGGUGGUUCCAGGUCCCCUGGCUGAUGCUGUCCAAUGGGACACCACUCUACCUCCCCUGGACAUCGAGGGGACCCUCGCCUAUGCUGUUGGGUCCCUCCUAGACUCCCGACAUCGUAGGACUCAGUUCCAGUACCUGGUGGACUGGGAGGGG
rnacentral:lncRNA from 1 species